rnacentral:rRNA from 1 species
CCUGGCUUAGGAUGAACGCUAGCGACAGGCCUAACACAUGCAAGUCGAGGGGCAGCACAAGGAGCAAUCUGAGGUGGCGACCGGCGCACGGGUGAGUAACACGUAUGCAACCUGCCUGUAAGCGGGGAAUAACCCGUUGAAAGACGGACUAAUACCGCAUAAUACUAAAUUACUGCAUGGUAAUUUAUUUAAACAUUUAUGGCUUACAGAUGGGCAUGCGCAUGAUUAGCUAGUUGGAGAGGUAACGGCUCCCCAAGGCAACGAUCAUUAGGGGUUCUGAGAGGAAGGUCCCCCCACACUGGUACUGAGACACGGACCAGACUCCUACGGGAGGCAGCAGUGAGGAAUAUUGGUCAAUGGACGAGAGUCUGAACCAGCCAAGUCGCGUGCAGGAAGAAUUGUCCUAUGGAUUGUAAACUGCUUUUGCAGGGGAAUAAAGUGCAUCACGUGUGAUGUUUUGUAUGUACUCUGCGAAUAAGGAUCGGCUAACUCCGUGCCAGCCGCGGC